UAUGCGGAAAUGAAAUUUAAUGUUACUUCGAAUACGUUCUUCUACAAAAUAACCGACCUGUAAUUAGUGCUAAAUUUGCUUUAACAUCAAUCGAAGCAAAAAUGGCAUUUAUGUAUGUGUUUAAAAAUGUUAAAUUUAGAUGGAGACAAUCCAGAAAUGAGCUGCAAGGAAGUGAUCGAUUUCGGACACGAAGAUUGAGAAGUGCCUGGAUACAAGGCUAGUAUUGUUAACAUCAUCUGAUACAAUCAACUGGAACAAAGCUGAAAUGGCUGCCUGACCUGACUUAAAAAUUGGAUUGCAGUACAUCAGACUAGAAGAUUACAAGUAUUGAGGUGGACAAAAUGAAACCUGAGCCUACCAAAGCUGACAGAUUGCACAAGAAACACAUAAAUGCAGAUUGGAAGAUUCAUUCUCUUGAAAGUAGAAAAAGGCAUGUUACUUACUGUUAUCACUGCCAUGACAGAAACCAUAUUGAGGAGCUGGUCCACCUGUAGGAAGAAUUGCGCUAUUGGUUGGAGCAACACUAUUACCCAGCCAUACACCAGCACUUAGUUUGUCAUAGGGAGCAUUUCUGAGCAGUUAUGGAGACCACUAACUAUGCAGUUGUUGCAGUGAAACUUGCACCAGUGUGUUUUCUGUGGAGAUAAAGAGAUAGUGUCCAGCAAUGAAGACCCAACUCAAGAUCUGACCUUGUAAGGCCAAUAUGAAAUAACUGUGUGGGAAAAUGGGAAAAACCUGCAGUCAGGAAUGCAUGGAAAUCAUCAAAAGAACAGUGUUAAAUUAAUCUUGAAUAACUUGACAUUUAUUUUGUUUGACAUAUUUAUUCAUGGUGCAGUGAAAACAUUCUUUUUUUCUCAUGGUUAUUUAAAUUUAGUAUUGAUAGGAGGGAACAUCACUAUGUAAUUUCAUGUUCAUAGUCAGAUCAAAACCCAUGUACAUGCCCAAAUGAGCAUUCGAAAAUAUCAAAAUGGUACUUGUUGUAUGUAGUGUAAGUUAAUUAACAUAAUAAACAAAAAUAUUUAAUCAAUUUCAAUUUAUUAUGCCCCUUUCAAAGAAGAGGAGUAUAUUGCUUUGCACAUGUUGGCCACUACGUCCGUCUGUCUGACAGUAGGCCAAAGUUUUUCCGGGUGAUAACUCUACAAUUCCUAGACCUAUUGUCAAACUUGACAUGAAAGUUUGGUUUAACCAGUAGAUGACCCCUUUUGAUUUUAGGGGUAAUAUGGUCAAAGGUCACAGUGACCUUGAACAGGAAGGUGUCAAACCAUACA